AUGUGGCACAAGACCGGCAAUACCUUGCCGGUUGUGGUCAACGGCCGGCAAACGGGCACCAAAAAUGUUCUGGUGCUGCACACCAACAAGAACUUCGACCAGCAGAGGACCAACUGGGUGAUGCACCAGUACCACCUCGGGGACCUGGAGCAAGAGAAGGGGCAGGAGCUGGUCCUCUACAAGAUUUUCUACCAGACGAACACUAGGGCCAGUAGUCGAGCAAGUUUCAACUGGGUUGUAGACUGCCCAGGCUUGGUUUUGUUUUUAACAGGCCCAGCCCAUAACGAAAAUGGGGCACAAAGAUCCAGCAGGUAG
rnacentral:rRNA from 1 species